CUGUGUGCCUUUCGGUUCGGAAUAACUCAGGGAAACUUGGGCUAAUACCGAAUACGCCCUUCGGGGGAAAGAUUUAUCGCCGAUAGAUCGGCCCGCGUCAGAUUAGCUUGUUGGUGAGGUAAAGGCUCACCAAGGCGACGAUCUGUAGCUGGUCUGAGAGGAUGAUCAGCCACACUGGGACUGAGACACGGCCCAGACUCCUACGGGAGGCAGCAGUGGGGAAUAUUGGACAAUGGGCGCAAGCCUGAUCCAGCCAUGCCGCGUGGGUGAAGAAGGCCCUAGGGUUGUAAACCCCUUUCAGCGGGGAAGAUAAUGACGGUACCCGCAGAAGAAGCCCCGGCUAACUCCGUG
rnacentral:rRNA from 1 species